rnacentral:rRNA from 1 species
GUGACCUCAAAUCAGGUAGGACUACCCGCUGAACUUAAGCAUAUCAAUAAGCGGAGGAAAAGAACUAACAAGGAUUCCCCUAGUAACUGCGAGUGAAGCGGGAAAAGCUCAAUUUAAAUCUGGC